rnacentral:rRNA from 1 species
GAGACUCUGUGCGCGUGCAUAUCAAUAAGCGGAGGAAAAGAAACUAACUAGGAUUCCCUCUAGUAACGGCGAGUGAAGCGGGAAGAGCUCAAAUUUGAAAUCUUCAAGGUUCUACCUUGACGAAUUGUAGUUUAUAAGAAGUGUUUUCUGUUAGUAGAGUUGGCUAAAAGUUCUUUGGAAUAGGACAUCAUAGAGGGUGAGAAUUCCGUAUUUGAUCCAUUCUUUCUAACUUUGUGCUACACUUUCAACGAGUCGGAUUGUUUGGGAAUGCAGUCCAAAAUGGGUGGUAAAUUUCAUCCUAAAGCUAAAUAUUGGCGAGAGACCGAUAGCGAACAAGUACCGUGAGGGAAAGAUGAAAAGAACUUUGAAAAGAGAGUUAAACAGUACGUGAAAUUGUCAAAAGGGAAGCGUUUGACACCAGUGUUGUUUAGUUGAAAAUCAAUUCAAUAAUUUUUGAUUUUGAGUAGUAUUGACUUCAUCAGCUUGCUGCUUUCUUUUCAGGAAAUUAUUGAAUGCACUUUUCAGUUAACAAGUCAACAUCAAUUUCUUUUGUUGUAAAAGGGUAAGAGGAAGGUGGCUUACGCUUCGGCGUAAGUGUUUAUAGCCUUUUACCUCUGCAAUCGGAGAGAUUGAGGACAGCAGCGUAGACUCUUCGGGGUUAGAUACACUUGUGCUAAGCUAUAGCCUUGUAUAGACAACUUGUUGACUAUGCUCAGUCAUGUAGCUUACUCGCUUGUGCUAUUUUACCUACGCUUAGGAUGUUGAGUCGUAGAGCACGCAG